GUCAAGUUGAAGUGGUUUUUUUCACAUGUAGAAAGAGCAAAAGAGACAAUAUUUGGGUAAAGAACAAACGACUACCUAAAUACAUGAUGAGCCUUAGGAAGUGGCUGAUUCAGUAAAAUGUGCU